GAUGAACGCUAGCGGCAGGCCUAAUACAUGCAAGUCGAGGGGUAACAGGAGAGCUUGCUCUCGCUGACGACCGGCGCACGGGUGCGUAACGCGUAUGCAACCUACCUUUUACAGGGGGAUAGCCCAGAGAAAUUUGGAUUAAUACCCCAUGGUACUAUAAAAUCGCCUGGUUUAAUAGUUAAAGAUUUAUUGGUAAAAGAUGGGCAUGCGUGACAUUAGCUAGAUGGCGAGGUAACGGCUCACCAUGGCGACGAUGUCUAGGGGUUCUGAGAGGAUGAUCCCCCACACUGGUACUGAGACACGGACCAGACUCCUACGGGGGGCAGCAGUAGGGAAUAUUGGGCAAUGGACGAAGUCUGACCCAGCCAUGCCGCGUG
rnacentral:rRNA from 1 species